rnacentral:tRNA from 1 species
UGGGGAGUCGUCUAACGGCAGGACAGCGGACUCUGGAUCCGUAUGUGGAGGUUCGAAUCCUCCCUCCCCAGCCA